rnacentral:rRNA from 1 species
AUUGAACGCUGGCGGCAUGCCUUACACAUGCAAGUCGAACGGCAGCACGGGAGCAAUCCUGGUGGCGAGUGGCGAACGGGUGAGUAAUAUAUCGGAACGUGCCCAGUCGUGGGGAUAACGUAGCGAAAGCUACGCUAAUACCGCAUACGAUCUAUGGAUGAAAGCGGGGGAUCGCAAGACCUCGCGCGAUUGGAGCGGCCGAUAUCAGAUUAGGUAGUUGGUGAGGUAAAGGCUCACUAAGCCGACGAUCUGUAGCUGGUCUGAGAGGACGACCAGCCACACUGGGACUGAGACACGGCCCAGACUCCUACGGAGGCAGCAGUGGGGAAUUUUGGGACAAUGGGCGCAAGCCUGAUCCAGCAAUGCCGCGUGCAGGAUGAAGG